ensembl:snRNA U6 U6 spliceosomal RNA
GUGGUCAUUUUCAGCAGCAUAUAUACUAAAAUUGGAAUGAUACAGAGAUUAGCAUGGCCCCUGAGGAAGGAUGACAUGCAAAUUUGUGUUGCAUUUCAUAUUUUU